GGUUGUAAUUUUAUAUCAACAUCACGUGCUUUGCUUUUUAAGCAACUCUUCCAUUUCGGUUUUUCUAACUUAAAUGUUCAGAAUAUUAUCAAACUGAUGAAUUCGUUCUUCAAAAAUUAAGUAUCAACUUCAGUUCCUGUUUGUACCAAAUCAUUAUACAGUAAGUUUCAUACAAAUAAUUAAUUCAUA
rnacentral:lncRNA from 1 species